ensembl:lncRNA
AUGUAUGCCUUAGGAUAUCAGCAGGACGGAGCACUCACAGGGCAGGCCCCCACAUGGCGUCACCUGAGGGGCUCUGACAGCUUCCCCACCCCUCCCACCAGGAAAUGCCCACCAGCGGCGCUCAUAACAUGCUACUCAAAGGCAUUAAAAGCAGUUGUUAAAAUGCAACUGUGCCACCAGGAAGAUGAUAUCCUCAGAACUUGUUAUCAAUUAGUGUCUCAGCUCAAGUUAAGAUUUUAUUGGCUACUGCUAAAGGCAGUAAAGAAAGGUCUGAAAUUUGCCACAGUGGAAGGUUGUGUACAUCCAGAAGCAGGAGGUGAGGGAGGCGUGAUGAGAACACUGGAUUCACAGAAGACUGAUAUCCAUGUGGCCUUAGGAAGAUGGCAUCCCUGAACCUUGAUCGCUUCUUUUGUCCAGUAAGUCCAGUAAUAUCUAUAUCCCACUGUCUCACUUGCUGCAAGUGUCAAAUGAGAGCAUAUGUAAAACCGAAUAAAGUCACUCGGUUGUGUCCAACUCUUUGGGACCCCAUGGACUGUAGCCCGCCAGGCCCCUCCAUCCGUGAGUAUUUUCCAGGCAAGAAUACUGGAGUGGGUUGCCAUUCCCUUCUCCAGGGGAUCUUCCUGACCCAAGGAUCAAACCCAGAUCUCCUGCAUUACAGGCAGACUCUUUACCAUCUGAGCCACCAGAGAAGCCCCCAUGUAAAACUAACAAUCCCUAUGUAAGGGAGGGAGAGAGGAAUAGAUAACAGAGCUAGGUUAGUACCUGGAGGCUUGGGCAACCUCAGCAUCCAGAAGGAAACUGAUGUGUGGCCCAGCUCCUCCCAAGCACCUGAGUGACACUCCACAGACCAGGGGUCCUGCCUCGCCCACCUGCUGAACCACAGCUGUCGGAGGCAGCAUCUCAGGAAGCAGACUUUGCAGCAUGAUCCACACCCCUGACGCCUUCCUAGAGUGGGCAGAAAGUGAAAGGCGUAGUGUGCAUUUCCCCUCCUCCGGGUGAUAGGGUUUCACAUUCCUUCCAGCCUCUUCGCAGGAGGACCAUGGAAUCUUCUCUGCAAGGCUGUCUAGAAGACUUCCCGCCCCCGCUCUGUGCAGACACUUGGGCUGUGUAUAUUUUCCACAUUUUUUUUUAAACUGCUUUUUUUGGGAAGCGAUUUUCCUCCAGCCCUGGACCAAGGACAAACCAGUCAGAGCUUGCCGUUGUGAGUCCAGAGGGCAGCCAGGCAUUUGCCUGAAGGCUUGUGGGGCACCAGUACUGCCUGUACUUUUCCAUGAAUGGAAGGAGGCGGAGGGGGGUGGCAGCAGGGUCGGCUUCCCCGGGAACGGCAUCCUGGAGAUUUUCCCAGCUGGCUUUGGGGAAGUUACUCCAACCUGAUCUAGUCCAGCUGUGGUGGAGGCCCUGAUGGGUGUGAGGAUUCAGACUAUUAGCACUGAUAUUUAAACAGUAGGUGGUUCUGAUGCCCUCAAACCAGUUUCCUCUCCCUGAUGGAACUGCAUGGCAGUUCUUCAGCCUGGGUUAUUAUUUGCACAUCUUAAAUACCCUACCUAGAUAGCAUAUUAAAAAGCAGAGAUAUUACCUUGCAAACAAAGGUCCGCCUAGUCAAGGCUAUGGUUUUUCCAGUGGUCAUGUAUGAAUGUGAGAGCUGGACUGUGAAGAAAGCUGAGCACCAAAGAAUUGAUGCUUUUGAACUGUAGUGUUGGAGAAGACUCUUGAGAGUCCCUUGGACUGCAAGGAGAUCCAACCAGUCCAUCCUAAAGGAGAUCAGUCCUUGGUGUUCAUUGGAAGGACUGAUGCUGAAGCUGCAACUCUAAUACUUUGGCCACCUCAUGUGAAGAGCUGACUCAUUUGAAAAGACCUGAUGCUGGGAAAGAUUGAGGGCAGGAGGAAAAGGGGGUGACAGAGGAUGAGAUGGUUGGAUGGCAUCACUGACUCGAUGGACGUGAGUCUGAGUGAACUCCGGGAGUUGGUGAUGGACAGGGAGGCCUGGCGUGCUGCAAUUCAUGGGGUCACAAAGAGUCAGACACGACAGCGACUGAACUGAACUGAACUGAAAUACCCUAGGCUUUAACACUGGUUGGCCUCACCGAAAACCUGUGCUCAUACCUCAGCCCAGCCUAAUCCUAGUGAGACGUGGAGAGUGAACUUCUGCCACCAACAAGACAGAUUCAUGAUAGAGGGUUUUGAGGGAACACAGGGUAUAUGAAGAAGUGGUUAAAUACAUGGAAUUUUUAGGAUCUGCCAUAUUCAAAUUCAACUGGCUCUACCACUUUUUAGCUGUUGUUACUUCUUUGAGUUUCAGUUUCCUCCCCAGUGAAACGGGCUUUCCCAGUGGCUCAGCAGUAAAAAAUCAGCCUGCAAAGCAGGAGAUGUGGAUCGAUCACUGGGUCAGGAAGAUCGCCCGGAGGAGGGCAUGGCAACCCACUCCAGUAAUUUUGCCUGGAGAAUCUCAUGGACAGAGGAGCCUGGUGGGCUGCAGCUCAUACAUUGCAAGAGUCGGAUAUGACUGAAGUGACUGAGCACGCAGGCACCAGUGAAAGAGCUUGCCUCAGAGUAUGGGGCAGGAUACAUUUAAAUGAUACAUAAAAAAGGAAUUAUCGCUGUGCCUGACACAAAAUUGGUGAUGUAUUGCAAUUGUAAAUAAGAGGAGCAGGCUGAAGCCUAUGACCCACCCAUCCUCUCAUGCCAGAAUAAUGAUGCUGUGAAAGCAGAAGGGAAGAUGAGGAUGGGGGAGGCCCACAGAACCUCACAGAAGGACAAUCUCUCCACUUUAGGAGCUGCAUAGGAUAGCUGGGGUUUGUGGCCAAGGCCUGCAGGAAAAGAAGAGGUGUGGGCUCUAGUCUGGUUCUUGGAGAACUCAAAGAAAUUGGAAUUUUCAGUGAACUCACAUGUGGUUCAAAGGCAGCCUUCCAAUGUGACAACCCAGCUUCCUGUUGGAUUAAUCCCCUGAAAACACAAUGGGAUUCUUUCCAUACCCCAACCCCACUCCUCAGGUUCUCCCACCACCCCAACUAAUGUCCAUUUCUUCCUGAAAAACCUUGGAACAAAACUACCACUCGACACUCUACUUUUCUUAAGUGCUGGUUGGCAGAACAAUAUGUAUAGGGUGAUUAUUCCAGUUAUGUGAAAAUAUAAAUAUUUUCAAUGACUAGAAAACAAUACGCCAAGGUUACUAUAUUCCAAGGUUAACAGUGAUUACCUAUUGUCUGCAAAGGGUGGAAUUAAGAGAUGAUUUUUGUUUUCAACUUC